CACGCGAAGCUUGGUUUGACCUCCUUUAAAACUAUUUUCGUUGGCGGAGAAGAAAUAUACGAAGUCACUAUCCAAAUUUGCCUUAAAUGCACUUGGAGAUGUGUGAGUUGGAAGCUGAUCCUGAUGUUUGGUGGCUACAGCAGAGACCUGAGAGGAGGUGAUAACACCAUUGGAACUAGACAUGUGUCUCGUUCCUGAUGAGAUGAGCAGUGAAAGUGUGGUCAGUGUCCUCCACUCUGUAAAAAUUAUGGUACACUGCAAGAUCGUGACCACAGCAGUGCAUUCUGGGUACUUCUGGUCUAUUGUGGCUUGGAGUAGCUAUCAGCUCUGUGAGUGGAGGGUUCCUAACUGGAAGAGGCCUCAGAGGCAAAUACCUGG